AUUGAACGCUGGCGGCAUGCCUAACACAUGCAAGUCGAACGGCAGCAUGAAUAGGGGUAACCUUAUUUGAUGGCGAGUGGCGGACGGGUGAGUAAUAUGUAGGAAUCUACCUAGAGGAGGGGGAUAACUUGGGGAAACCCAAGCUAAUACCACAUAAGCCCUACGGGGGAAAGCAGGGGACCGCAAGGCCUUGCGCCUUAUGAUGAGCCUACAUCGGAUUAGCGAGUUGGUGGGGUAAAGGCCUACCAAGGCGACGAUCCGUAGCUGGUCUGAAGGGAUGACCGGCGACACUGGGAAGGGGAAAGGGCCCGGGCGCCUACGGAGAGCAGAGAUGGGGAAUAUUGGACAAUGGGCGCAGGCCUGAUCCAGCCAUACCGCGUGGGUGAAGAAGGCCUUCGGGUUGUCAAGCCCUUUUGUUGGGAAAGAAAUCCAACUGGUUAAUACCCGGGUGGGAUGACGGUACCCAAAGAAUAAGCACCGGCUAACUUCGUGCCAGCCGCCGCAGUAA
rnacentral:rRNA from 1 species